UGCAAGUCGAACGGUGAAGGAGAGCUUGCUCUCUGGAUCAGUGGCGAACGGGUGAGUAACACGUGAGCAAUCUGCCCCUGACUCUGGGAUAACAGUUGGAAACAGCUGCUAAUACCGGAUACGAGCUUCGAAGGCAUCUUCAGAAGCUGGAAAGAACUUCGGUCAGGGAUGAGCUCGCGGCCUAUCAGCUAGUUGGUGAGGUAAUGGCUCACCAAGGCGUCGACGGGUAGCCGGCCUGAGAGGGUGACCGGCCACACUGGGACUGAGACACGGCCCAGACUCCUACGGGAGGCAGCAGUGGGGAAUAUUGCACAAUGGGCGCAAGCCUGAUGCAGCAACGCCGCGUGAGGGACGACGGCCUUCGGGUUGUAAACCUCUUUUAGCAGGGAAGAAGCGAAAGUGACGGUACCUGCAGAAAAAGCGCCGGCUAACUACGUGCCAGCAGCCGCGGUAAUACGUAGGGCGCAAGCGUUAUCCGGAAUUAUUGGGCGUAAAGAGCUCGUAGGCGGUUUGUCGCGUCUGCUGUGAAAACUGGAGGCUCAACCUCCAGCCUGCAGUGGGUACGGGCAGACUAGAGUGCGGUAGGGGAGAUUGGAAUUCCUGGUGUAGCGGUGGAAUGCGCAGAUAUCAGGAGGAACACCGAUGGCGAAGGCAGAUCUCUGGGCCGUAACUGACGCUGAGGAGCGAAAGGGUGGGGAGCAAACAGGCUUAGAUACCCUGGUAGUCCACCCCGUAAACGUUGGGAACUAGUUGUGGGGUCCAUUCCACGGAUUCCGUGACGCAGCUAACGCAUUAAGUUCCCCGCCUGGGGAGUACGGCCGCAAGGCUAAAACUCAAAGGAAUUGACGGGGACCCGCACAAGCGGCGGAGCAUGCGGAUUAAUUCGAUGCAACGCGAAGAACCUUACCAAGACUUGACAUAUACGA
rnacentral:rRNA from 1 species